GACGAACGCUGGCGGCGUGCUUAACACAUGCAAGUCGAACGGAAAGGCUCCAGCUUGCUGGAGUGCUCGAGUGGCGAACGGGUGAGUAACACGUGGGCAAUCUGCCCUGCACUCUGGGAUAAGCCUGGGAAACUGGGUCUAAUACCGGAUAGGACCUUUCUCCUCAUGGGGUUUGGUGGAAAGUUUUUCGGUGCAGGAUGAGCCCGCGGCCUAUCAGCUUGUUGGUGGGGUAAUGGCCUACCAAGGCGACGACGGGUAGCCGGCCUGAGAGGGUGAUCGGCCACAUUGGGACUAAGAUACGGCCCAGACUCCUACGGGAGGCAGCAGUGGGGAAUAUUGCACAAUGGGCGAAAGCCUGAUGCAGCGACGCCGCGUGAGGGAUGACGGCCUUCGGGUUGUAAACCUCUUUCAGUAGGGACGAAGCGCAAGUGACGGUACCUGCAGAAGAAGCACCGGCUAACUACGUG
rnacentral:rRNA from 1 species